UACGUAGGUGGCAAGCGUUGUCCGGAUUUACUGGGCGUAAAGAGCGCGCAGGCGGUCGUUCAAGUCGAGUGUGAAAGCCCCCGGCUCAACUGGGGAGGGUCACUCGAUACUGAUCGACUCGAAGGCAGAAGAGGGAAGCGGAAUUCCCGGUGUAGUGGUCGAAAUGCGUAGAUAUCGGGAGGAACACCAGUGGCGAAGGCGGCUUUCUGGUCUGCUCUUGACGCUGAGGCGCGAAAGCUAGGGUAGCAAACGGGG
rnacentral:rRNA from 1 species